rnacentral:rRNA from 1 species
GACGAACCGUGCGAACGUUAUUCGGAAUCACUGGGCUUAAAGCGCGUGUAGGCGGGACGGCACGUCGGUCGCUGAAAUCCCCCGGCUUAACCGGGGAACUGGCGUCGAUACGACCGCCCUGGAGGGGCGUAGGGGGACCUGGAACUUCCGGUGGAGCGGUGAAAUGCGUUGAGAUCGGAAGGAACGCCCGUGGCGAAAGCGAGGUCCUGGACGCCUACUGACGCUG